UGUCCUCCGAUCAAAUGUUUUUAUCCUUAGGGCUUGUUUGGUUCAAUGGUGGAAUUGAAAUAGAUAAUGGAAUGGGAAUGAAUUAGAAUGGUAAUUGGAAUGACCCACUCCUCCAAGACGUUUGGUUUAUUUGUGGAUUGGGAAUUGGAAUGAGUUAUUCACAUUUCAUUGUUUGGUUCUUAUAAACUAAAAAAAUUAUAGGAUACUAUAAUACUAAUUUUACUCUCAAAUAUAAAUUUAUAUUAUUUAAAAUUUAUGAAAAAUAUAAUACUAUUCUCUAAUAAGUUUUCCAAAAAAAAUAUCAAAUUUAUUUUUAAAAACUUUUAUUGAUGUGGAUUAGGAAUAGAGUUUUGAGAGAGGAUAGGUUUUUUUUUUUUUUGAUGAGAAAGGGGUGAAGAGAAGGAGGGUGAAAUGGUCACAUG
rnacentral:lncRNA from 1 species